rnacentral:rRNA from 1 species
AAUACGUUCCCGGGCCUUGUACACACCGCCCGUCACACCAUGGAAGCCGGUAACACCCGAAGCCGGUGGCCUAACCCGCAAGGGGGGAGCCGUCGAAGGUGGGAUUGGUAACUGGGGUG